GGGGUCCUUAGAGGAGGAACACCAGGGAGGACCGAGACACAAAGAGCGGGGAAGGAUGGCCCUGUCAACACCUUGAUUCCAGACUUCCGGAGCAGUGAGACUAGAGCUUCUGAUUGUUUUGGCAACGUCUUUGACCGUGGCUCCAACGUCAACUCUUCUUGAACCCCCCAAAAGGAAAGAAAUACGCACAAAGCAGGUUAAAGAAAAAUUGCUGAAUACCUACAGACUUGGGCAAGAAUACGAACACUUGGAGCUUCCCCUCUCUGGCCUUGAGGUAUUUUCUCAUGUGUCAGUGGAGUGAACUGGGCCAGGAAAUCUUGAAAGCCAACAUCAAACUCAAUGCUUUUAGAAUCAACUCAUGGUGUGCACAGUGCGUGAACAGCGUGGAAAGUGGUGCUGGAGCGAGGUGUCUCUUCUGUCGCUGCAUGGGGUGAUUCUGAGGGAGGAUGCAACACAGUGUGAUGCCAAGAAAGGCAGCCUGUGGAGAUGCCACUCACAAGCUGGGUGACUCUGGAUCCCUGUGGCCUUUCAACAAAUGCGCUCGGGCAAAGCAGUCACCAGCACUCGUGGACAGUCUGGCCAUGGCGCCUCCAAGGCACGAAAUGAACAGACUAACCAAUGUGCUCCUGGAGGUCUGCCAUCGCAUGGGAACCUGGUUCUAGAUGAGUGACAGUCACAAACAGCCCUGCCAGAACUCAUGGGACAGCGCCCUGCAAGCUCUCCCUCCACCCAGCCAUGGCAAUGGCGAAAGCCACCACCCCACUGCCCACACAGUCCCCGGAGCAGGACGGAACACCUCGUCCGCUUGCAAGUUGACACAUCUGGAAAGUGGCCAAAGCACCCAGUGGAGAUAGCAGCUCCCUUAUCUGCACCACCUGGUUCUCACGAGUAAAUCCUUCACACCAAAAUGACAUGAAUAGAAAGUUUAAAGGGACAGAGCCUCGACUUGGUGUUGCACUGAGUUCCAUGUAAGCCAUCACAGAUGGCCCCAGAAAAGUGCUCUUUGGUGAUUAAGAGGAAUGGGCAAAGCAGAGGAAGGUUUGUCCUGAGAGCUUUCUCAGGGCUGUUAGAGGCAGCCCCACAAAGCCGGCUCACGUGCAACUGGGGAGAUGCCCCGCCCCAGUGCCCGUUCUGCUCUGGGUCACCAGCCCAGCAAAGCGGACGCAGACAUCGAGCUGGCUGGCGGAAACCAGAGACAGAUCCCCUUUCAAAACCCACGUACAUCAGAGAAAAGGAAAGCAGAUCGUGGACAAAGUUUGCAUCCCUCCACCUGACAUGCCAGUUGCCUUCGGGUCACUCAGCCGGCAGGACAGGCUAGGGCUGCUGCCAUGAUGAGACUUGGUGACAUAGACGACAAAGGCUGGUGUCUCUUCCAGGCGGUGUAAUCCCCCAGGGGCUGACUGUGAACCCACUGCCCUUGUUAUCAGCCUCCACCACCCAGGAAGAAGGAGCCACAGUAACGCUCACUACGGACUUUAAAGCUUACAGUCGGAAGAUACGCUACACCUGCCCCCAUCUAACUGACCUCUCCCUGGGGACACAGAGAGCUACAGACCUGCAUGCGCCUGGAAGCUGGGACCCCCUCCCCAGACUCACUGGCCUUUCCUUUGGCUCCCAGAUGCACAGAGGCCGGAGGCUGUUGCCACGGCCACAGUAUUACUGUUUUAUAAUUCAAGUCAUGAUCAU